AUACAAUAAGCUGUAAUAAUACAAUAUGGUGUAAUAAUACAAUGAGCUGUAAUAAUGCAAUGAGCAGUAAUAAUGCAAUGAGCUGUAAUGAUACAAUAAGCUGUAAUGAUAGAAUAUGGUGUAAUAAUACAGUGAGCUGUAAUGAUACAAUAAGCUGUGGUUUGAUGGUACUUACCAUGUCCCUUUAAGCAAUGUACUCUAGUUGUAAGUUUUGUUCAUAACAAAUCCACAAGAUAUUUAGAGAGAAACUGUUAUGUCUGUCUUAUUUUAAUGUUCUGUAUAGUUAUUCCUAUGAAUUACAUAUUUGAGUAUGUGACAAUGUAAACGUUAUUUCAAUACCAUGUGUAAAUUCUCCCAGUAUUAUUACCAGUACACCACCAGCCGCCAUCUUGUCUCCCUAAUCCUGUAUUUCUGGGCAGGACGAGGACAUGAUACAUGUCUAAGUGUAAUCAAUGCAGGAAGCAGAAUAGUGCUGGAGAGACAGGAAGAUAUUGCAAUGCGUGUCAGGUCCUCUGUAAGGCUCCGAGGCAUUGCAUGACUUGCUCUGGGUACACAUUACCUUUCAGAGAACAACCGAUUUGGUAGUUGUUGAGAUAACCUUGUCUGACCGACGUAAUCUGCAACAGGUCACAUCUUGGAUAUGCUGGGAUACAUUGUGUUUAUGAAGGAUGUAUUGUGUGUGUGUGAAGGAUGUAUUGUGUGUGAAGGAUGUAGUGUGUGUGUAGGGGUACAGUGUAUGCGCGAAGGGUACAGUCUGUGCACGAGGGGUACAGUGUGUGGGGGGUCAGGUUGUGUGAGGGUUAGUGUGUGUGUAUGUGGGGCAGUUUGUGAGUAAGGGAUACAAUGUGUGUGUAGGGGCACAGUGUGGGAGGGGGGACAGCACUAAUCCCUGGUGGUCCGGUGGAGAAGCUCUGGCAGUCCUAGUGGUGAGAGUGAAC